rnacentral:rRNA from 1 species
GCAGUAGCCGCGGGAAUACGUAGGGUGCAAGCGUUAAUCGGAAUUACUGGGCGUAAAGCGUGCGCAGGCGGUUAUAUAAGACAGAUGUGAAAUCCCCGGGCUCAACCUGGGAACUGCAUUUGUGACUGUAUAGCUAGAGUACGGCAGAGGGGGAUGGAAUUCCGCGUGUAGCAGUGAAAUGCGUAGAUAUGCGGAGGAACACCGAUGGCGAAGGCAAUCCCCUGGGCCUGUACUGACGCUCAUGCACGAAAGCGUGGGGAGCAAACAGGAUUAGAUACCCCCGUAGUCCCUGUCUCUUAUAC